GUGCACGGGCGGCGUGCUAUACAUGCAGUCGAGCGAAUCUGAGGGAGCUUGCUCCCAAAGAUUAGCGGCGGACGGGUGAGUAACACGUGGGCAACCUGCCUGUAAGACUGGGAUAACUUCGGGAAACCGGAGCUAAUACCGGAUAAUCCUUUUCUACUCAUGUAGAAAAGCUGAAAGAUGGCUUCGGCUAUCACUUACAGAUGGGCCCGCGGCGCAUUAGCUAGUUGGUGAGGUAACGGCUCACCAAGGCGACGAUGCGUAGCCGACCUGAGAGGGUGAUCGGCCACACUGGGACUGAGACACGGCCCAGACUCCUACGGGAGGCAGCAGUAGGGAAUCUUCCGCAAUGGACGAAAGUCUGACGGAGCAACGCCGCGUGAGUGAUGAAGGUUUUCGGAUCGUAAAACUCUGUUGUUAGGGAAGAACAAGUACCGUUCGAAUAGGGCGGUACCUUGACGGUACCUAACCAGAAAGCCACGGCUAACUACGUGCCAGCAGCCGCGGUAAUACGUAGGUGGCAAGCGUUGUCCGGAAUUAUUGGGCGUAAAGCGCGCGCAGGUGGUUUCUUAAGUCUGAUGUGAAAGCCCCCGGCUCAACCGGGGAGGGUCAUUGGAAACUGGGAGACUUGAGUGCAGAAGAGGAAAGUGGAAUUCCAAGUGUAGCGGUGAAAUGCGUAGAGAUUUGGAGGAACACCAGUGGCGAAGGCGACUUUCUGGUCUGUAACUGACACUGAGGCGCGAAAGCGUGGGGAGCGAACAGGAUUAGAUACCCUGGUAGUCCACGCCGUAAACGAUGAGUGCUAAGUGUUAGAGGGUUUCCGCCCUUUAGUGCUGCAGCAAACGCAUUAAGCACUCCGCCUGGGGAGUACGGCCGCAAGGCUGAAACUCAAAGGAAUUGACGGGGGCCCGCACAAGCGGUGGAGCAUGUGGUUUAAUUCGAAGCAACGCGAAGAACCUUACCAGGUCUUGACAUCCUCUGACAAUCCUAGAGAUAGGACGUUCCCCUUCGGGGGACAGAGUGACAGGUGGUGCAUGGUUGUCGUCAGCUCGUGUCGUGAGAUGUUGGGUUAAGUCCCGCAACGAGCGCAACCCUUGAUCUUAGUUGCCAGCAUUCAGUUGGGCACUCUAAGGUGACUGCCGGUGACAAACCGGAGGAAGGUGGGGAUGACGUCAAAUCAUCAUGCCCCUUAUGACCUGGGCUACACACGUGCUACAAUGGAUGGUACAAAGGGCUGCAAGACCGCGAGGUUUAGCCAAUCCCAUAAAACCAUUCUCAGUUCGGAUUGCAGGCUGCAACUCGCCUGCAUGAAGCCGGAAUCGCUAGUAAUCGCGGAUCAGCAUGCCGCGGUGAAUACGUUCCCGGGCCUUGUACACACCGCCCGUCACACCACGAGAGUUUGUAACACCCGAAGUCGGUGGGGUAACCGCAAGGAGCCAGCCGCGCUAGCGAUGCUCACCACGGCGC
rnacentral:rRNA from 1 species